rnacentral:rRNA from 1 species
UGAAUACGAGACGCAAGGCGUCGAAGUAGUGUAUGUCAUACUUCCAAGAAAAGCUUGCACUGUCAUAGAUAAAAAACGCCUGUACCAUAACCGACACAGGUGGGUAGGUAGAGUAUACUAAGGGGCGCGAGAUAACUCUCUCUAAGGAACUCGGCAAAAUAACUCCGUAACUUCGGGAGAAGGAGUGCCUUAUUCGUAAGGUUGCAAUAACAAGAUCCAAGCAACUGUUUAUCAAAAACACAGGUCUCCGCUAAGUCGUAAGACGAUGUAUGGGGGCUGACGCCUGCCCAGUGCCAGAAGGUUAAAGAAGUUGGUUAGCAAUUGCGAAGCUGAUAACUGAAGCCCUGGUGAACGGCGGCCGUAACAAUAACGGUCCUAAGGUAGCGAAAUUCCUUGUCGGGUAAGUUCCGACCCGCACGAAAGGCGUAAUGAUUUGGAUACUGUCUCGGAGAGGGGCUCGGUGAAAUAGACUUGUCUGUGAAGAUGCGGACUACCUGCACCAGGACAGAAAGACCCUAUGAAGCUUUACUGUAACUUGAAAUUGAAAUUGGACUUUAUUCGCGCAGUAUAGGUGGCAGGCGUUGAUUAUAAUCUUGUGGGAUUAUUGGAGCCAUCAGUGAGAUACCACUCUUGUAAUGUUAGAUUUCUAACUUUGAAUCAUUAUCUGGUCAAAGAACAGUUUCAGGCGGGCAGUUUGACUGGGGCGGUCGCCUCCUAAACGGUAACGGAGGCGUACAAAGGUUUCCUCUGAACGGUUAGAAAUCGUAUCUAGAGUGUAAAGGCAUAAGGAAGCUUGACUGUGAGACCUACAAGUCGAGCAGGGACGAAAGUCGGUCUUAGUGAUCUGACGGUACUGAGUGGAAAGGCCGUCACUCAACGGGUAAAAGUUACUCUAAGGAUAACAGGCUGAUCUCCCCCAAGAGUUCACAUCGACGGGGAGGUUUGGCACCUCGAUGUCGGCUCAUCGCAUCCUGGGGCGGUAGUACGUCCCAAGGGUUGGGCUGUUCGCCCAUGAAAGCGGUACGCGAGCUGGGUUCAGAACGUCGUGAGACAGUUCGGUCCAUAUCCGGUGUAGGCGUUAGAAUAUUGAGAGGAGCCUUCUUUAGUACGAGAGGACCGAGAAGGACAUACCUCUGGUGUACCAGUUAUCGUGCCAACGGUAAACGCUGGGUAGCUAUGUAUGGAGUGGAUAACCGCUGAAAGCAUCUAAGUGGGAAGCCCACCUCAAGAUAAGUAUUCUCAUC